rnacentral:tRNA from 1 species
GCCCUGGUUAGCUUGUAAGCAUGCCUGCCUUGUAAGCACUAGGUUGUUGGUUUGAAUCCUACCCAGGGCA